UACGGAGGGUGCAAGCGUUGUUCGGAAUUACUGGGCGUAAAGCGCACGUAGGCUGAUCGUUAAGUGAGGGGUGAAAUCCCAAGGCUCAACCUUGGAACUGCCUUUCAUACUGGCGAUCUCGAGUCCGGAAGAGGUUAGUGGAAUUCCCUGUGUAGAGGUGAAAUUCGUAGAUAUUGGGAAGAACACCAGUGGCGAAGGCGGCUAACUGGUCCGGUACUGACGCUGAGGUGCGAAAGCGUGGGGAGCAAACAGG
rnacentral:rRNA from 1 species